rnacentral:rRNA from 1 species
UUCCGGUUGAUCCUGCCGGAGGCCACUGCUAUGGGGGUCCGACUAAGCCAUGCGAGUCAUGGGGCGCGCUCUGCGCGCACCGGCGGACGGCUCAGUAACACGUCGGUAACCUACCCUCGGGAGGGGGAUAACCCCGGGAAACUGGGGCUAAUCCCCCAUAGGCCUGAGGUACUGGAAGGUCCUCAGGCCGAAAGGGGCUUUCGCCCGCCCGAGGAUGGGCCGGCGGCCGAUUAGGUAGUUGGUGGGGUAACGGCCCACCAAGCCGAAGAUCGGUACGGGCCAUGAGAGUGGGAGCCCGGAGAUGGACACUGAGACACGGGUCCAGGCCCUACGGGGCGCAGCAGGCGCGAAACCUCCGCAAUGCGGGAAACCGCGACGGGGGGACCCCCAGUGCCGUGGCAUCGCCACGGCUUUUCCGGAGUGUAAAGAGCUCCGGGAAUAAGGGCUGGGCAAGGCCGGUGGCAGCCGCCGCGGUAAUACCGGCGGCCCGAGUGGUGGCCGCUAUUAUUGGGCCUAAAGCGUCCGUAGCCGGGCCCGUAAGUCCCUGGCGAAAUCCCACGGCUCAACCGUGGGGCUUGCUGGGGAUACUGCGGGCCUUGGGACCGGGAGAGGCCGGGGGUACUCCUGGGGUAGGGGUGAAAUCCUAUAAUCCCAGGAGGACCGCCAGUGGCGAAGGCGCCCGGCUGGAACGGGUCCGACGGUGAGGGACGAAGGCCAGGGGAGCGAACCGGAUUAGAUACCCGGGUAGUCCUGGCUGUAAAGGAUGCGGGCUAGGUGUCGGGCGAGCUUCGAGCUCGCCCGGUGCCGAAGGGAAGCCGUUAAGCCCGCCGCCUGGGGAGUACGGCCGCAAGGCUGAAACUUAAAGGAAUUGGCGGGGGAGCACUACAAGGGGUGGAGCGUGCGGUUUAAUUGGAAUCAACGCCGGA